AGAGAAGCAGGAGGAUCUUUGUGUGGAAGCAGUUGCUCUGCCAGAUGCUCCUGCCAUAAGGCCCUGCCCUUACAACAGGUGUGGCACCUCCAGGACUGUGAGCCAAGGGGGGAAAAAAAAUCUCUACACUUCAGUAUCACUAGUGACAACUGUGAUACUGUGUCUGAAUUAAGCAGAACUGACAGCUUUGGCUGUGGGCCAGAAGAACCACAACUCUAUCUCUGGAAUACAAAACCCAGCUAGCCAAUAGCUGUAUAGUUUCCUGACUCGAUUAACUUCUGGGCGCUGUUACAAAUUACUGGGAACUGGGUGACCUUAAAACAACACGAAUGGGACUGAGAACGCUCGGCUCAGUGGGAGAGCAGUUUUCUUGCCUCCCAAGGUCCUCAGCUUAAUCUCCACCUCCACUAACCAUGCCUGAGAUGAAGGUCUCACGCACUGCGCUCCUUCCAGAGGCUCUAACCAGGGUGCUCCCGGCCUCUCCCAGCUUCCAGGAGUCUGCGUCUGCGGCACAUCAGUCCAGCCUUUGCCUCUGUGGUCACAAUGCCCCUUCCUCUCCAAUUAUCUUCAGCUUUGCUUUCAUAAGGAUCCGUGCGGUUGCAUUUAAGGCCCACCUGGAUAAACUCCUCUCAAAAAAAUCCUGAACUUGAUUGUUUGUCAAUGUUUUGCUAUACAAGAUAAUGUUCACAGUUUCUGGGGCCUAGGAUAUGGACAAUCUGUUUUUGGAGUGAUGAGUCAGCUUACUAUGGUAACGAAUGCUCAUCACUGGGGAGGUGGCUCAGCUGAUAAAGGGUUUGCUGUGCAAGAAUGAGGACCCUGGGUACCACAUAAAGCCAGAAGUAGUGAUACAAACCUCUAACCCAUGUGUUAAGAUAUAGCUGAACACCUGGAUUGAAGGGGAGGGGCAGCCAGUCACCAAAUCAGUGAGCUCCAGACUCAGCGGCAGACCCUGUCUCAAAAAAUAAGGUGGAGACCAAUUGAGAAAGACACCCAACACUGGCCUCCGGCCACCACAUCAUGUAUACAUACAUGUUGCAUGUACACUUCGACAUAUGUACUUACACAA
rnacentral:lncRNA from 1 species